rnacentral:rRNA from 1 species
CCUACGGGGGGCAGCAGUGGGGAAUAUUGGACAAUGGGGGGAACCCUGAUCCAGCCAUGCCGCGUGUGUGAAGAAGGCCCUCGGGUUGGAAAGCACUUUCAGUGAGGAAGAACGCCUGGUGGUUAAUACCCAUCAGGAAAGACAUCACUCACAGAAGAAGCACCGGCUAACUCCGUGCCAGCAGCCGCGGUAAUACGGAGGGUGCGAGCGUUAAUCGGAAUUACUGGGCGUAAAGCGCGCGUAGGUGGCUUGAUAAGCCGGUUGUGAAAGCCCCGGGCUCAACCUGGGAACGGCAUCCGGAACUGUCAAGCUAGAGUGCAGGAGAGGAAGGUAGAAUUCCCGGUGUAGCGGUGAAAUGCUUAGAGAUCGGGAGGAAUACCAGUGGCGAAGGCGGCCUUCUGGACUGACACUGACACUGAGGUGCGAAAGCGUGGGUAGCAAACAGGAUUAGAUACCCCUGUAGUC